rnacentral:tRNA from 1 species
GCGCCCGUAGCUCAACUGGAAAGAGCACAGGGUUGCGGACCCUGAGGUUGUGGGUUCAAGUCCCACCGGGCGCG